UAAAUUCUUCACUUCCCCUAUUCAACUGGCUAAGGGCAAAGGAAACCCACCAAGCCUCCAGUUCCUGUCAUUAAAGUUUAUGGAAUGGGAUAAGUUAUGGAAUGGGAUUUGAUAAGCGUGGCCUUAUCAAAUUAUAAGGAUGCUAAAAGUCGAGUUUUACACCCAGGAAACAGCUCACAGUAGGCUCUGGAGGGAAUGCAUGCAAAGUGGCACCGGUGCCCACCUAAGGCCAAGAGACAUCUGGAACUCUUAAGAUUGAACCCCACAGGAGGACACUCGGAGGGGAUCAUCCGGAACUCAAACUUUCCAAAGAAGAUGCUCUCUGCAGAGAGACCAUCGAGCUUCAGAUGAUCACUCAACAAAGGCUCCAGCAAGUUCCAGGUGAAGACACCACC
rnacentral:lncRNA from 1 species